AACGAACGCUGGCGGCAGGCUUAACACAUGCAAGUUGAACGGGAUUUGAUUGUAGCUUGCUAUAAUUAAUGAGAGUAGCGCACUGGUGAGUAACACGUGGGAACAUACCUUGAAGUGGGGGACAACAGUUGGAAACGACUGCUAAUACCGCAUAAAGCCUGAGGGUGAAAGCAGCAAUGCGCUAUCAGAUGUGCCCAAACGGGAUUAGCUAGUAGGUGAGGUAAAGGCUCACCUAGGCGACGAUCUCUAGCUGGUCUGAGAGGUUAACCCCCCACAUUGGUACUGAGACACGGACCAAACUCCUACGGGAGGCAGCAGUGGGGAAUAUUGCACAAUGGGGGAAACCCUGAUGCAGCGACGCCGCGUGAGCGAUGAAGUAUUUCGGUAUGUAAAGCUCUAUCAGCAAGGAAGAUAAAUGACGGUACUUGACUAAGAAGCCCCGGCUAACUACGUGCCAGCAGCCGCGGU
rnacentral:rRNA from 1 species